rnacentral:rRNA from 1 species
AUUGAACGCUGGCGGCAUGCCUUACACGUGCAAGUCGAACGGCAGCACGGGGGCAACCCUGGUGGCGAGUGGCGAACGGGUGAGUAAUACAUCGGAACGUGCCCCGUAGCGGGGACAACCAGUCGAAAGACUGGCUAAUACCGCAUACGCUCCACGGAGGAAAGCAGGGGAUCGCAAGACCUUGCACUAUGGGAGCGGCCGAUGCCCGAUUAGCUAGUUGGUGAGGAAAGGCUCACCAAGGCAACGAUCGGUAGCUGGUCUGAGAGGACGACCAGCCACACUGGGACUGAGACACGGCCCAGACUCCUACGGGAGGCAGCAGUGGGGAAUUUUGGACAAUGGGCGCAAGCCUGAUCCAGCCAUGCCGCGUGCGGGAAGAAGGCCUCGG